GGUGCUGCAGAAGCUGCCAGCCCAGGUCUGGGUUGACCUGGUGCCCAGCUGGCCUGCCAUUGCAAGGUGGGGUGGGAGAAUACUUCUUUAAUUAAAGCAUCUCCGAGAGCCACUCUAAUUAAAAGUGCCCUUGGUGUCUUAUAUCAGCAUCCCCAUGCUUCAAAAUGGCAGAGCAUGCAUAAAAAUGUCCUAGAUCAACUUCCUCAUUCACCUUUGUCAAGGUACCCUUGUCAACUGUGGUGGGCUUGCCGGUGGCAGCCUGGCGUACCAGCUUUGGAAAAGUUUGAAAUGAUUGGUGGGGUAUUUCCCCUUCCCCCACCAAUCAGGUAAAGGCAGGGGAGAGGCUUGCCCCACCCCUACUUCAGGGCAAGGCAAAGAGCCGGACCUGAGAUGGAACUAAUACCCCCUUUCUCUGAUUGGGCAGUUUCCAAUUUGGGGGUGGAGCCCCUGAAAGGAAUAAAAAGGCACACAGGCGGUUGCGUCGAAGGAUGGAGAAAAGGGCAAAGAAGAGCUGGCAGAGCUGGUGCCCCAGAAGAACCCGAAGCCUCUUUGUUGUGUGGGGAGAGGCAAAGUGGCCGUGUCCACCCCAGCCCCACCACGUGGGAGCACGAGAAGAGAUGAUAUAAAAGGCAAACCAUCAACUUUUAUGGAAACCACCCCUGAAUUAAAACAUCAUAUUAAGAAGAGGCUUCAGUUAUACUGAAAGCAGGGAUUGCUCAGCGAGAUUCCAAACCACAGUCACCCUUUGGAGAUAUCCUUGCUGAGGCUUGUAAAACCCUCUCUAAUGAAAGAGAGCUGAAGCUGUCUUCCUAAGGAGAACAAGAUCUGAAAUCCCAGAAAAGGUGAUCCUCAGCAGGUGGUGCACCUCAGUGCUGACCCUCAUGGCAGAGUGCUGGUGGCCACCCAGAGCUGCAGUCUGGUGGCGGCAAUUCCAGAUGGCACACUCAGUGCCAGCUCCAAGUGGCAGUGACCACAAACAGCGAUCCCAAGAGGCCGCAGAGACCCUGACCGGUAAUAGGCAGCUUACCUCAGCACUGACCCCAGAAUGGUGGAGACCUGGAUAGUGCUCCCAGAGCAACACUGGCAUCCCCAAAAUGGCAAUCAUUGAUGUGAUCCCCACCAGUAACCUGGAGAGAGACUCCCCGCCUUCCCCUGGACCGGGUAAAGUAGCAGCUCCCCGUGGUGGAGAUUUUUCAGAUGAAGACUGAAACUAAGAGACCCAGGGAGUCUGAGGUAUUUGAUAUUUUGAGGUGUUUAAUAGAUGGGGUGUGGUAUUUGAUGAGAUGUAGUUAUUUUCAUUCCCCUGUAAUACACUUGUACUCUCUGUUUGAUAACCAAAUUGCUUGCAAGUGGGGAAGUUAUUUUUUCAGAACCCCCAGUAACGGUUAUUUUUCCCAGGUUUCUGGUUGGGGGCUCAUGCCCCAAAUUCCCCAAAUUUGAACCCAGCCCUUCCUUGUAGUGCUAUCCUGGGCCUGGCAGAAGAGUUACAUUAGUGUCUAGGCUAGAUUGUACACAAUAAACCUGGCCAAAUUCUUUGUCACUAACAACUAAAACCUGCAGUUUCUUUCUUGUAACAGUGAGUUUGUUAAGGGGACAGUAUCACAGAUGGUAUCCUGACAACACACACACACACACACACACCAUGGAAACUGAGGGAGCCCAAUGUGACCAGUAAUACCCAACCCUCAAACACCACCAAUGCAGUUAGAUAACAACACUGAUGAAGUCCACCCUGACAACACUGGUGACUCUGGUGACCUACAGAUGUAGCUUAGAUAUGGGAGAAACCAGUGAUGACACAUAGGGGGUGCACUUGGGUGCAUGUGCACCCCCUGAGAUCAGCUGUGCACCCCAUGGAAGUGCCAGCCGCGAAACCAAAACACUUCUAGUUUUGCUGCUGGCUCGGUGAUUGGCUGCUGGAGGACCACCCCCAUCGGGGAUCUGGUGCCCUGCAGACUCGGGAGGCAUCAGUCGCCCAUGGGAGAAACAUCCAGUGAACUAGCAAAUGUGUUUGGAUUAAUGACUAAAUCCAAAACUACAGGUGACAGCAAUCUGGGGGAAGUAGAGAAGUCACACAGCAGGUUCUCUUAUUAUGUUUAGGCCUUUGUCAUUACAUACCUCUUCUUCAGACCCUGCAGCAAAAUAACUGCUCCUCCUAUCCUUCCCAUCCCUCAGAAGAACUGACAUGCCUUUCCCUUUGCUAAUGCUAAGUUUGUUAAUGCUGUCCCAAGAUGGGUCAAAAGGAAGUAUCUGGAAAGUGCUGAGUGAUUUCUUUCUCUUCCCUCCCUUGCUCUCCCCUCCCU